AUGUCUACAAGCUUGAUGAUGGAAGCAAGCAAGUUGUUGACAAGCAUGAUGUUGUGUUUGAUUUCAACAUUUCUGGUAUUGUCAUGGGUUAGCUUCAAUGAAGCUGUGGCAGAACAUAUCAAAAUGGGGAUAGGCCAGGAGGUGCAGUUGUUUGCAUUAGACACCGUUGAGAGUAUAGUUGAUCUUGUACUUAAUGGUCAGCAACUGAAUUCACACUUUAUUGGCAAUCAUUGGGACUUUGAGGCCAAGAAAUCAUUUCUGUUAGCUGAGGUUGUUACAUUGGAGGCACCCAAUGCAAAGAAAGUAGGAAAGAGGGCUCCAAAACAGCCAGCUGCUCCCAAACAGCCGCGUGCUCCCAAACAGCCGCGCGCUCCCAAAAAGCCAGCUGCUCCAAAAAAGACAACUAACAAAUCUAUAGAAUGCAGUGCUAGCUCCUCUGUGGUUGUUGACAAUUCAAACUUGUCAGCUUUCGAGAUGGCACAGACAAUGGGUAGUCAAUAUAGAGUUUUUCCUAAUGAUGUGGAGUUUUCACCGGAUGAUGUUGACCACCCAGCCACAAUGCAGUCUCAAACUGUUUUUGAUGUGGUUGAUAGUACUGAGAGAUGUGAGUCCUCCGUGGUUAAUCAGGAAGAACCACUCAUAGAUUGGAGCUUGAUUGAGAUAGCUCCUCCCAUAACUGAAGAAGACAAUAUGUGCGAUCCUCUUGGUAUUAACGAUGUCGACAUUCCCAUAACCGAAGAGAAUAUGUGCGAUCUUCUUGGUAUCAACGAUGAGGCGGUCCCUGAGCCACCACCUUCUCCACCUAGUGAGGAAGUUUACAUGGCCGAUGAGGAGGACCGUCAGCUUUUCAUUGAGGCUGCCAUUACCGUGGAUGAUAGUGUGCCACCAGAUGAGGAGAUUGCAUAUGACAAAGAGAACUCGCAGAUGUAUCUUGGUGCUUUGUUUCCUUCAAUGAAAGAUUUUAGGAUGGCUAUCAGACAAUAUGGAAUUAAAAGGGAGAUCGACAUUUGGGGAUAUAAGACUGAUAAGAAAAGAUAUCUUGGCAAAUGUAGAGCCAAGGGUUGUCCAUGGAGGAUUACAGCCAGAGUGAGGACUGAUGGACAAAGCAUAAGGGUACUAAGGUUUUUUUAA
rnacentral:rRNA from 1 species